GACAGAGGGUGCAAACGUUGUUCGGAAUUACUGGGCAUAAAGAGCACGUAGGUGGCCCGCUAAGUCACGUGUGAAAUCCCCCGGCUCAACCGGGGAAUUGCGCGUGAUACUGGCUGGCUCGAGGCGGGUAGGGGUGAGCGGAACUCCAGGUGGAGCGGUGAAAUGCGUAGAUAUCUGGAGGAACACCGGUGGCGAAAGCGGCUCACUGGACCUGAUCUGACACUGAGGCGCGAAAGCUAGGGGAGCAAACGGG
rnacentral:rRNA from 1 species